CUGGGUCCUAUGCAAUGCAGGAUCUACAAACCCCGUCAGGCCCGGAAGGGAGCAGCGGUAGUAAGCUCUUCAUGUGCCGUAGGGUGCCUAG
rnacentral:SRP_RNA from 1 species